rnacentral:lncRNA from 1 species
AUAAUUUCUCUUUUUUUGAGACAGUUUCUUUUCUCAAGAAUCAACCCUGGAUGUCCUGAAACUCACUUUGUAGACCAAGCUGGCUUCAAACUUUCAGAAAUAUCCCUACCUUUGCCUCCCAAAUGUUAGGAUUAAAGGUGUGCACCACCACCCAGGCCCAAGUGGUGUCUUUUCAAAGUCUGUCUGCGGAGUUUGUAUUGCCACCAUCACCAUCCAUUUCCGAAGCUCCUCAGCUUCCACCCACAGGAAGCCUCCUGACCAUGAGUCCCCGUCCCUCCUCUCUGUGGGCUGCCUCUAGGAUACGUCUCACAUACACGCAUGACUGUAUGAUUGGAAAGUUUUUAUAUGGACAGUUAGUGGGAAACCGUGCUUUUGUACCUUGUUAUAAUCCUCCUUUACAGCACCAUGUAUUUUUCCUUCAAAGCAUGAGAUAAUCAAGAGUUUAGAAUUUUGUAACUAAUAUGCUUACCUGUUUUACAGAAGGUGACGAGGUGGGUGCUGGCAUCACUGAUGACAAUGAAGAUGAGAAUUCAGCCAAUCAGAUUGCUGGCAAAAUACCCAACUUCUGUGUCCUGCUCCAUGGCAGCCUAAAGGUGGAAGGAAUGGUGGCACUUGUUCAACUAGGGUAGGAAGGGUUUGUUUUCAUUGAUUGACCCAGAGAGAACUGCACGGGGAAGCUUUUCACAGACUUAAGGAAAGACAUGGAAAGAUCUUGGUCACCUUUUC